CUCCCGGGAAGGGGGGAGGAGAGUAGCUGCAGCCUGGCCGCGCCCGCCUCCUGCUUCCUCCUGUCAGGAAUCCUGACACCUGCUAUAACAUGGAGGGACCCCGAGGACACUGUGCGCCACAGGACAGAAGGACAGAAGCCAGACACGGACAAAUCCUGCGUGACCCCACUCACAGGGGGUCCCUAGAGGAGUUCCAUCCACAGAGACAGAGAAUUGGGCUGGGAGAGAAUGGACAACGAAAGCUGAGUGCAAAGAGGGAAGAUAGCCGAUUAAGAGAAAUAAGAGAGAACCCAAGAAGGCGAUUGCUGGCUCACGCGGUGACCUUGAGCUAAGAGAAAGCCCUGGACAGGAUGAGGCAUAGUUUAUUUUUUUUUUUUUUGAAAGAAACGUAGGAGGAUAAGUUACCACCUGCGCUUGAGAGAUACAUGAGAACACCCCAGACAAAUCUAAAGAAUGAGUGCAGUGGCAAAAGAAGAGAAAUGAGUAGGCACAGACUUGCUGUCCCCAGUUAUGGGAAUGACCAGUAGAAGCUUCAAGAAGGACUGACACCGGUUCCAAGAUCUGAAGUGUGCACGGAGACAGAGGGAAGGAAGAGGCAGGGUGUCUAGAACGUAGAGACCCAAAUUGUGAGCUGUGAACACCAGCGUCUCCAAGCUGAACCUGUGGCUUGCCCAGCAUCCAGCUCGAGUACAUACCCCCCCUGUCCCGACGUUCCCGGGCCCAGGCGGGAGGCGAAAUGCCAGCCUCUCAUCCCAACUCAGCAAGGAUUGGGUGACACCGAGGAAGUCACCCCCAUCUGGGGUGACCAAGUGUCUUAGGUCACCUGGAACUGUUCUAGUCAUAACCUGGAGAUCAGGACAUCUGGGCACCUGCUCCCCCUCUGUCUUCAUCUACCAGGAAGGGUCUGGAGCAAUUCAGGGGUUCCCAAGGGGGUGCUGAGCACGACGCCAGGGCGGGAACAACUUGUUUCCAGCCCCCCGAUGAUGCCGGGGACAGCUUCAGCUUGGAGCCAACAUGUUCCUAAUGCCACUCUUGUCUGUGACUGUUUUCAAAAAGGGCGUGAACUGUGGGUGCACAGCCUUCAGGGAGAGUACCCAGCCCAGUGCCUAGGGUGAAGGGAUCGAGGGGCUGGCCUCAGGGGCAAAGUGCAAGGGUGCCCCCACAAACCUCAGUUCGAGAUAAAUAUUUUCACACAACAUUUUAAACAUAUAAACAUUAACAGCAAGAAAACGAGCAACCAAAUACCGAUGUGGCACACAAAGACAGGACUUUGCACGUCCCCGACCACCUCUCUCUCCGCCCCCACUCCCAGCCCUGCCGGGUGCUGUGUUGGUUUGAAACUUCGAUAUUUUGCUCAUC